rnacentral:tRNA from 1 species
AGUCUUAUAGUCAAUAAUAUGAUAUAAAAUUGCAAAUUUUAAGGAAUAAUUGAAAAAAUUAUUAAGGCUU